rnacentral:rRNA from 1 species
UUUCCGGUUGAUCCCGCCGGACCUGACUGCUAUCGGAUUGAUACUAAGCCAUGCUAGUCUUUGUAGUAAUACAAGGCAUACGGCUCAGUAACGCGUAGUCAACCUACCCUAUGGACGGGGAUAAUCUCGGGAAACUGAGCAUAAUACCCGGCAGACCACUUAUCCUGGAAUGGUUAGUGGUUAAAAUGAUUCGUCGCCAUAGGAUGGGACUGCGGCCUAUCAGCUUGUUGGUGAGGUAAUGGCCCACCAAGGCGAUUACAGGUACGGGCUCUGAGAGGAGAGGCCCGGAGAUGGGUACUGAGACAAGGACCCAGGCCCUAUGGGGCGCAGCAGGCGAGAAAACUUUGCAAUGUGCGAAAGCACGACAAGGUUAAUCCGAGUGAUUUCUGCUAAAGGAAUCUUUUGUUAGUUCUAAAAAUACUAGUGAAUAAGGGGUGGGCAAGUUCUGGUGUCAGCCGCCGCGGUAAAACCAGCACCUCAAGUGGUCAGGAGGAUUAUUGGGCCUAAAGCAUCCGUAGCCUGUUCUAUAAGUUUGCGGUUAAAUCUAUACGCUCAACGUAUAGGCUGCCGUAAAUACUGUAGAACUAGGGAGUGGGAGAGGUAGACGGUACUCGAUAGGAAGGGGUAAAAUCCUUUGAUCUAUUGAUGACCACCUGUGGCGAAGGCGGUCUACCAGAACACGUUCGACGGUGAGGGAUGAAAGCUGGGGGAGCAAACCGGAUUAGAUACCCGGGUAGUCCCAGCUGUAAACGAUGCAGACUCGAUGAUGCGAUGGCAUAGAGCUAUUGCAGUAUCGCAGGGAAGCCGUUAAGUCUGCCGCCUGGAAGUACGUACGCAAGUAUGAAACUUAAAGGAAUUGGCGGGGGAGCACCACAAGGGGUGAAGCCUGCGGUUCAAUUGGAGUCAACGCCGGG